UGGAUGCCAGCUCUCAGAUAAGUGCUCUGUUUUGCUCUCUCUUUUGAAUGUUCUGUUCAUAGCCCCGUAGCUCUCUGAGGUCGCUUCUGCUCUGGCGAUUGUUGAGUGUGGUCUCGGGUUUUGGUGAUUAAAAAUGGCCUGAUUUCUCUCCUUCCAUACACUCCAUAGCAGCACCGCAAUUUGAUUGAACAUGCCCGAAGUAAUUGGGUUCUGUUUGAUUCUGCAGAGCCAUUCUUCAAACCGGGUGAGGCCAAAUCUGGAGAUUCGUUGAUUGAGGGGAGAUGAGAUCCAUACCUUAGCCGUCCAAGGGCAUAGGAGAAGAGUAUGCUCGGGCGUUUCUGGUUCCUGCUUGCAGAUGGGGCAUAGAGGUGAGGGGACAAUCUUUCUUUUAUGCAAAUUCUCCAUAGUAGCAGUUGCGUUGUUGCAUGCGUUCCAAAGAAAGAAUUUAACUUUGGGUGGGAUAGUGGUCUGCCAGAUAUAUUUCCAGAGGUUUGGGUUGGAUGUAUAGGACGAAUGUGCUUGUGUGUCCUGCGGUUGAAUUCUGGCAUCCCUGAAGAUAAAAUAACCACUCUUGACCUCGUAAUCUCCUGACUUAGUAUGCAUCCAGACUAGUUUAUCUUCUUCGUUAGGUAAGCUGAUGGGAAUGGCUAGUAUUUCUUGGACCCUUAUGUCAUCAAACAUAGAGCGCAAUAGGUUUUCAUUCCAUGUGCCUGUAUCGGUGUUGAUGAGGUCCGAAACACGUUCUGGUUCAUUAGUUGUUGCUGUGCCUCCUAUCAGGCCGCUUUUUAGCCAUCUGUCUGUUCUGAUGACUGUGUUUUUUCCAUUGCCUAUCCUGUGCAUUACCUGAGGAGCAACCAUGUCCCUGGCUUUGAGGAUACUUCGCCAACUCCACGAGGGUCGAGAGCCGCUUCGAGCAUUCCAGAUGUCACCUUCUGUCGAGUUUGGAGUUGACCCAAGCUUGUAUCCACGCAAAGAGGUCUUUCUUGGAGUUCCCCCAAUCUGAAGGAAAAAGAUGGAGUCGUCAGCGAAGAGGAGGUGGGACAGAGCAGGACAGUGGAUGUUCAUUUUGAUUCCUGUGAGCAAGCCCUCUUGGACUGCAUUCUUCAUGAGGGUAGACAGCACGUUGGCCACAAUGAUGAAGAGGUAAGGUGAAAGAGGGUCCCCUUGGCGCAAUCCUCUGGUUGGUUUGAAGGGAGGUGGCCAGUAGAGAAGAGAUGCUGUACUGUUUAGAAUAUGUCUUUGGAGAUUACGGACCAGUGCUCCUUGUAGAAGAGGCCAUGGAAACCGUCGGGACCUGGUGCCUUAUAGGCCCCUAACUGCUGCAUUGCAUGAGUGACCUCCUCCUCAGUUACUUGAGCCAUCAAGGUUUGGUUGGUUUGAUCAUCUACUAAGGUGGCAUUGAUAUGUGAUUGCGACAUCUCCUCUGGAUCGUCGUCGCAUGAAAGAAGCGGGUGUUGAAGAUCUCCUUGCAGCAUGGUGAUUCUUUUCCUAGCGUGGCCGAAUUUGUUUCUGCUCCAGUUCAUCAGUUUCUGCUGUAGUUGCUGCAGUUUCUCCACCGGGGUUAGUUCGGUGCUCUGCCAGGUGUCAGUAACUAUUUCUUUGCUUUCAACUUCAUCUUUCCAGUAUGCUUCAUAUUCAAAUUGCUUUCGUUGUUUUCUCUUCGGUUGAGUCAAGGAUAGCAGGAGAGGAGUGUGGUCUGAUCCUAUCGUUGGGAAUGCAAAGCAUUGAGCCUCAGGGUGAAGGAGCAUCCCUUGCAUUCGAGGUCCAUCAAGGAGCAUUGGCAUACAAAAUCUCGAAAGGCUGUUAUCCUGUGGCAUUGGGUGAAUAUCGCUGAGGCUGAGGAGGAAUUGAUAGUCACUUGCAUUUGAUCAUCCCAAAAUAGGGCUAAGCCCCCGCUGUGCCUUCUGGAUUAACUAGGAGAUAUGGUUUCCUGCCCUGCCUCAGCUUCCUUCAUCUGUUCCUCAUGGAGUACCAAUUGUGAGUCUUCAUCAAUACAGCUAUUGCCUCUUUUCUGUGGAUUUUUCU